AGCAGCCCAUGUUUCCUGACAAAGUCCUGAUCUCUGGCACAAAGAGGGAAAAUGCAAGCAAUUGUCAGCAAAAGCAAUUCAACUGUUUUCAUGCAAACUGUUUUCAGGAGGCUUUGAACAGGAACAUACCCAGCCCUCCACUGGUUAAGUGGUACUAUGGCAGAUACGCUGAGGGGGCAUGCAUAGGCUGCUCUGGGCUACACAGAGGAUGCAAACGCUCUUGGACUACUUUCUGUUCUCCACAGGAAAGCCGGUGGUAUCCAUGUCUGCAUUAGGAAAAGCAUUACCAACAUACUGACAGAGGGAACUCUUUCCCUCCUCUCAGCACUGGUGAGACACAUCCAGAAAGCUGGGUCUAGGUCUGGGCUCCUCAGCACAAAAGAUGGAC
ensembl:lncRNA